GUGCCAGCAGCCGCGGUAAUACGGAGGAUGCAAGCGUUAUCCGGAAUUAUUGGGUUUAAAGGGUGCGUAGGCUGUUUUGCAAGUCAGGGGUGAAAGCCCGGAGCUCAACUCCGGAACUGCCUUUGAUACUGCGAGGCUGGAAUACGGAUGCCGUGGGAGGAAUGAGUAGUGUAGCGGUGAAAUGCAUAGAUAUUACUCAGAACACCGAUUGCGAAGGCAUCUCACGAAUCCGUCAUUGACGCUGAGGCACGAAAGCGUGGGGAUCAAACAGGAUUAGAUACCCUGGUAGUCCACGCAGUAAACGAUGAUAACUAACCGUCGGCGAUAGACAGUCGGUGGCCAAGCGAAAGCGAUAAGUUAUCCACCUGGGGAGUACGUUCGCAAGAAUGAA
rnacentral:rRNA from 1 species